GAAUAUAUUUUUGCAUUUUUUCAUCAGGUCACUUCCCAUGUUAAAUUUGCUAUUUCUUCAUCAUCUUUGUAUUGUUUUAUAAGGCUCUUGGAAAGCCUUUUAUUUAAUAUAUGUAGGUAAUACUGUGUACCUGCUUAGUCAAGGUUUCAGUGUCAAGCACACUAAACAGGUUUGAUAGAAUUAUCAAAAUCUCAUGUGGUACGGCUUGCCUUUUUAAAAAACCUGUCAGAGUUGUAUUUAAUCUAAUUGAAUGGGUUGGAUAGCCCUUGGAAGCUUGACAGUUACUAGGCUCCUGUGUUGAUGUGCUACAGCCUGGGAGUCUAAAUCUUUGGUAUCCAUCUGAGCCACACUAAAUGAAGCUGUCCGGAAUCAGGAGGCCGUUUUUCAUGGUCAGUGUGGGUGCACAGACAGGAGCUGGGCUUCCAACACCGUUUCCAGCACACUCUUCCCUCCAAGUACAUACCGAGGCGGGCUGUCCUGUACGUACCUGGAAAUGAUGAAAGAAAACUGCGCAAGCUGGCCUCUUUAAAUGUGGGUAGCGCGGUGCUCGACUUUGAAGACGGUGUGGCGCUGAGCAAAAAGUAGAAGAAUAGAUGCUGGACUAAUCCCUGGAAGUUUGGAACUAAUGAACUAACUGCUGAGCUGCCGCCACGGAGCUUGGUCCCAAACUAUACUGUACUUCACACUCGAUUUAUUCUCCAGAUGGCAGGACUGCGCAGUCCCGUCGCGAGGGACCACCUCUUCCACUGGAGUGUGAAAGUGGACGGAUGUUGUUUUCUUUGCCGAUUUGGUAAUUCAGAGCUAGGAACUUGCGAGGGCGAUUAGUUAUUAGCUUUAAUGGAUGCCAAUUGUAGGGACUGCACACAAAUCUUUUUUUUUUUCCCCCCUCAUCAUUUUUUGGCCUUUAAUUUCGCUGUCUGCACGCCUCUGUGAUGGUGAUUUAGCCUCGCUUCUGUGUCAUCAGAGCGCCUCGCUUCUCCAGGUGGUAGUAGCGGCUGAUAGCUGAAAUCAUAAUGUGCCUUUGCUUUCACGUCGGCUCACAGCUGUACGUGUAUGGGAACACAAUAACAAGUUUAUUAGCAACUGGCCUCACAGUGCACCUUGAUGGCCUCAGGAAGCAGUUGAAAUUGAAUCUUCCCCUUCCCCCCCCCCCCCCAACACCCCAUGCAACACAGGCCUGGUGAUUCGUUUCAAGGAGAUGUACUACACUACUCUUUUUGAGGAGUGAUGCAGUGUAAAUAAAUUCUCAUCCUGGUGUUUCCUUUGAUACUGGUCAGAGGAUACUCUCCUCAAGUCUUCUUUAUAUGUACUCCAUGAUAUUUAUAGAAUCCACUGUGCAGUAAUUAUACAGUAUAACUUGCUUGUUAGGAAAUAUUUCUCGCAGUACAAUAAGGAGGUUAUGACCAGACAGCACUGUGAAUAAUGUAUGUAUGUAUUUGUUUUAAACAUAUCCUAUAUUCAUAUAAAAACCCACACCAAAUCACUGUAAUCGGGCAGCAGUGUGGAGUAGUGGUUAGGGCUCUGGACUCUUGACCGGAGGGUUGUGGGUUCAAUCCCCAGUGGGGGACACUGCUGUUAUACCCUUGAGCAAGGUACUUUACCUAGAUUGCUUCAGUAAAAACCCAACUGUAUAAAUGGGUAAUUGUAUGUAAAAAUAAUGUGAUAUCUGUAUAAUGUGAAAUAAUGUAUAAUGUGAUAUCUUGUAACAAUUGUAAGUCGCCCUGGAUAAGGGCGUCUGCUAAGAAAUGAAUAAUAAUAAUAAUCUAAAUUAUUUAUAAUUUACUCAACAUAUUCUAGACAGAAAACUCAAAAUAAGCUGCAAUCUAUGUCAGGAGGUGACAAAACAUAAUGUAACAUUUACGGACGGACAGCUUG